ACAUUACACAAUUAUUAUAACAAAUGGAAGACCUACAUUUGCUUUGUUCACAGUAGUGCAUAUUAAUUACAUUCUUUGUUGAUGCUGAAACUUCUAUUAAUUUUAAGUUUAAUCUUAUUGUCAUGAAUUCUUAUCUGUAUGUAUAUUUAUAUUGUACAUCUAAGCAAAUAUUUGUUAUGUUUUAUUAUUCUGUUAAAGAACAGUGUCUGUUUGCCUGAUCAUACUCAUUUAUGAAUGUACCAUUCCAUUACUCUAUUGUUUCACUAUUUUACAGUUGUACUAUUACACUGUUUUACUAUUUUGCUUUAUUUCUUGAGUUAUUACUAUCUUCAUAUCUCACCAUUUCACUUUUAUAUUCUUAAUCAUACAAACAUUAAAGCAAAUAGGCUUGUGUACAUAUUUCUGCUAAAGAAGAGAUGUUUCACUUCGCAGUAGCACAACAAAUCACGCGUAAUUAAUUACUAUUUCACGCUACACCAAACUACAAGAUUACAUUAAAAACUUUUCAACAUCUUUAACACAGAAACAGUAUGAAACUCUUCCAUCAAGUAACCGUUUCUUAGACUAUUGCGUAGAAUUUUCUCGCUCUACGCAGCCCAAUUCUCACGAAUCUAAACACCCUUCCCAGAUGGAAACUUGAAAGAAACGACCGUUACCAUCUUUCCCCUUACGAUCAACCUGGAUCAACCCUCCGAAUAGCGAAACAUCCCCUUAUGCCAGUCCGGAAACAGGUAAAAAUCUCCGUUCGCGUGACCUUCGAACCCGUGGGAUCGUACAAAGAGGAUGCAUUGUGUUGAGAAAUUUUCUCACGGACCAUCGCACCGUUUGCACCGGUCAAAACGACUAUUUAAGGGCUGACGCAUCGUCCAGGUAUCGCAGAAGUGUUUCGCAAGUCGAAGAGGAGAGCACGAGGUGUCUUGGAGGACUUCAUCUCCUGAAGAUGGUCUCCAGAAGCAGCUAAAGAUGAAUAUGAAGGACCCUGGAAAAGAGACCCAAAAUUCACUAUGAAGAAAAGAAGCAACUCAAACGUUCAGAAGUCUAUAAAUGAUAACAAAUGAUUCAAAGAAGCAAAAUGAAAGGUUGAAAAUUGCUGUCAACAAAGAAAAUGGCAAGAAAAAGUCUGGAAAUCUACAGAAUUCAAAGGACUGCACUUAACCAUAAAACCAAACAGUUCUGUAAAAAUGAAUGGUCAAUUAGGAUGAAGAAAAGGAAGUUACUAUCAAGAGGAAAAAUGUAGCAGAAAGAUUCAGAGUAUCACAUACCUGGACUUAAGCCAAAA